rnacentral:tRNA from 1 species
GUCCCUGCAGCGCUAUGGAUAGCGCGUUGGACUUCUAAUCCAAAUGUCGUGGGUUCGAAUUCCCCUUGGGAUG